AUGAAAUUGAUCUCCCGUGCAGAAGCGGGGAUGUCCACAUAAGACGAGAAGACCCUAUGGAGCUUUAGACGUAAUGACAGAUCAUGUUAAUAACCCUUCCGCCAAAGGAAAAACCGAUUGAAGCCUGCCAUAAUGUCUUUGGUUGGGGCGACCGCGGGGAACCAAAAAACCCCCGAGUGGAGCAAGAGUACUAUGCUCUUAAAACCAAGAGCUACAGCUCUAAGCAGCNNNAUUUCUUACCUCUCAGAUUCCGGCACUNCCGAUUAACGGACAGAGUUACCCUAGGGAUAACAGCGCAANCCCCUUCUAGAGCCCAUAUCGACAAGGGGGUUUACGACCUCUAUGUUGGAUCAGCACAUCCUAAUGGUGCAGCCGCUAUUCCGGGUUCGUUG
rnacentral:rRNA from 1 species